UACAGAGGAGCCAAGCGUUGUCCGGAUUGACUGGGCGUAAAGGCGCAACGCAGGCGGCAUCGUCGCGUGGGGUGUGAAAUCUGGACCGCUUAACCGGCCAGGCGCCAUCCCAUAUACGGCGAAGGCUGGAGCGAUGCAGAGGUCGGUGGAAUUGGCCGGUGUAGUGGUGAAAUGCGUAGAGAAUCGGCAGGAACACCCAGUGGGAAACCAGCCGACAUGGGCAUCUGCUGACCGCUGAGGUGCGAGAGCGUGGGGAGCGAACCGGA
rnacentral:rRNA from 1 species